AAGAAAAUUUCAAGAGCAAAGCUUAUACAUUUUUUGCUUCCCUGUUUGUCGAUUAAUAACAUAUACCUUCGGAAAAUAGAUGAAUUGAUCUGGACAAGCAUGUAAUAAGUUCCCUUAACAGGGAAAAAAUACAGUGACGGUUUCUACAUAGCAAAUAAUGAUUUAGAGCUUAAAAUUCAAUGAAGAGGCUUUUACCACAGGGAAUCUGGUGAGGGUGGGUCAUUUUUGACCCUGUGGACAUGGAGCACAUGUAAAAUAUGAAGACAACACGAUAGUGAGACAUGCUCAGCAAGGUUACACACAACAGCCUCCAGCAUUGGCAGUUUUUCACAAUGCUUCAAGGCAAUAUGAAACUUGCCUUAAUACAGACGAAUAAGGGGCUAUGGAAACUAAACUUGAAGGUUACCUCUCAACCCUGGCGUUAAAUCAACUUUUCUUAAACAUCCUAUUUGGUGAGGAAUACUACUUUUGGUUUAAUCAAACUAUUGGCUGAAUAAGGGACGUUGUCGCUGGUCUAGAAGGAGGACCAGCAAAAACUGCAGAGGAAAAUCAUAUGGUUGAAAUAAUAUUUUAACUUUUGUGACUUUCACUUUUGGCUCAGAACAGGCAACUCCAGAUGCACUUUAAAUGCGGACAGCCGGAGCAACGGCGAACAAAUGUGCCAUUGUUCAGGAAGGGUGCUGUUAAUUGAGCCAUAAAUAAUGACCGCUCUGGUUAUUGGAGAGGUAAAUCUAUGACCGCAGUCCCGACGUUUAUAACCCCCCAGCCAGCAAUUUGACACCUCUAUUCGAACAGGUAGCCUAGUUAGCUUCGCGGGAGACAAUAAUUGCGCGUCUCGCAGAAAAGCGACGUCAGGUUUUUUGGAAUGGUAGGCAACUGCCCUGGGAAUACGCCCUAUUUAGGUCAAUAAACACACGCGGAAACGAAAGGGAAAAUACAACAGAUUAAGUACGAGUGGAUAUUCGAGUUCUCAAAAACCGGGUUUGAUCAACAGAUAACAUGUGGCUGCUUAAUUCGUCUGACAGGUCCAGCGCAUCGUUGGAACACAAAUAUCUAACGAAAUUCCACGACUUUUCAGUCAAUCAUCUUCUGCGUUAAUGCUGCCUCGGUGCUGUCAAUCUGUUUCAACCACUGGAGGGAGGGAGAGGCAGAGGGAGAGCAGAGGGAGGAGGAAACAGAGAAAAGCUGACAGGAAACCAGGAGGAGGAACACUUCUAUCCGGACAGGAGCUCCUUGUGAACUAUCAUUCAGGACCAGACCUCUUGCUUUAUAAGGCGCUGAAAAAAAAACACCAGGUCUUCCUGAUUUAAAAUUUGUUCCAGCUUCCAUAGCAGCUUGUGGUCCUGUUUCCCCAAGCUGACAAGUAGCUAUUCUAACAGUAAAUCAUUUAUCAUGCUUCUAGUAACUGUGAAAACAGAAUAAAAACGUACCCCGUUG